rnacentral:rRNA from 1 species
UACAGAGGUCUCAAGCGUUGUUCGGAUUCAUUGGGCGUAAAGGGUGCGUAGGCGGCAGGGCAAGUCUGGUGUGAAAAUCCCCGGGGGCUCAACCCCGGACGUAGCACUGGAUACUGCCUUGCUAGAGUACUGGAGAGGAACGUGAAUUACGGUGUAGCAGUGAAAUGCGUAGAGAUCGUAAGGAAGACCAGUGGCGAAGGCGAGUUCCUGGACAGUAACUGACGCUGAGGCACGAAGGCCAGGGGAGCGAACGGGAUUAGAAACCCUAGUAGU